AUUGAACGCUGGCGGCAGGCCUAACACAUGCAAGUCGAACGAGUGGCGGACGGGUGAGUAAUGUCUGGGAAACUGCCUGAUGGAGGGGGAUAACUACUGGAAACGGUAGCUAUUACCGCAUACCAUCAGAUUUGCCCAGAUGGGAUUAGCUAGUUGGUGGGGUAACGGCUCACCAGGGCGACGAUCCCUAGCUGGUCUGAGAGGAUGACCAGCAACACGAGAACUAAGACACGGUCCAGAGUGCUACGGGAGGCAGAAGUGGGGAAUAUUGCACAAUGGGCGCAAGCCUGAUGCAGCCAUGCCGCGUGUAUGAAGAAGGCCUGCGGGUUGUAAAGUACUUUCAGCGGGGAGGCGUUACCCGCAGAAGAAGCACCGGCUAACUCCGUGCCAGCAGCCGCGGUAAUAC
rnacentral:rRNA from 1 species